rnacentral:rRNA from 1 species
GACGAACGCUGGCGGCGUGCUUAACACAUGCAAGUCGAACGGAAAGGCCCUGCUUUUGUGGGGUGCUCGAGUGGCGAACGGGUGAGUAACACGUGAGUAACCUGCCCUUGACUUUGGGAUAACUUCAGGAAACUGGGGCUAAUACCGGAUAGGAGCUCCUGCUGCAUGGUGGGGGUUGGAAAGUUUCGGCGGUUGGGGAUGGACUCGCGGCUUAUCAGCUUGUUGGUGGGGUAGUGGCUUACCAAGGCUUUGACGGGUAGCCGGCCUGAGAGGGUGACCGGCCACAUUGGGACUGAGAUACGGCCCAGACUCCUACGGGAGGCAGCAGUGGGGAAUAUUGCACAAUGGGCGGAAGCCUGAUGCAGCAACGCCGCGUGCGGGAUGACGGCCUUCGGGCUGUAAACCGCUUUCGCCAGUGACGAAGCGUGAGUGACGGUAAUGGGUAAAGAAGCACCGGCUAACUACGUG